CAUUUUUAUUCCUUUUCCAUAACAAAAUGGGUCCCACAGGGAACCAAUAGAAGAAAAAUAACAAAAUAAAGGGGAGAAAAUAUAUCCACAAACAGGGACACGGACAAGGAGACAAGAAAAAGCAAAAAAAAAAAAAGAAUAUGCAAAGGAAGAGGGGCCCACAGUGAAAGAUAAUAACCUUCUUCUUUUUCUCUUUUCAAUUCCACACAAUUCAUAAACCUGACCACAUAUAUACAUAUACAGAGAUCACGCCAUAAAGGGGGAGAACAUGCACCAUCAUCUUCUUCCAUCAUACACGUACACACAUCACCCAUAUUUUUCCAUGGAUUAACACCAUACGCACACACAACAAACAAAAUCACGCACAUACUCGAAGAUCGACAACACGCACAGUAAAGAGAAGCAAGUCAUGGAGGGUGUUUGACGGAAUUCUGGUUUUCGGGUUCGAUCGGAUUUACGGAGCUUCAGGUUUGACUGUCUUUGUGGUUUAUUCUCGAAAUCGGGUUUCAGAUCCCUCGGUUUUUGUUCCUAUUUUGGGGUUUAGUUUUCAGUGUGUCUCGACCAGUUUUGCGUCUCAAAUUCCUUAAUACGGAGUUGGAGUUCAUCAUUGAGAGUUUGGAGUUGGAUUUCAUCGCUGUGGAGAUUCUCUAUUCAGGGUUUCGGGUUCGGAGUUCUUCAACCCGUUAUUAUCAACGAAAAUCAAUUAUUGAGGUCCAAUUCUAUUUUUUCUCCCUUUAAUUUUUUUACGUAAUCAUGAAUGAUUUGUAUGUUUUGGUAUGCUUGAAUCUUGAUUGUGUAUUGGUGGAUGUUGGAUUUGAAAACUUGAAUUGAUAAUAGAAGUACGUGUUAAUCACGGGUUAGUGGAUUCGGGGGAUUGAAAUUUGAUAAAAGAUGAAUAAUUUAGUUGUUUUGAUUCAUUGUUAUUGUUACUUCGCGUAUAAUUGUCAAUUCCUCGAUAAUAUUAUGAUAGAUCGAGCGGGGUAGGCAAACAGUAGGCUUGGAUAGACAAAAAUUAGAAUUUGUGGAUUGUUGAGUAAUGUGGAAUGUUGAAUGAUUUUCUUUUCUCGCAUUUGGAAAUGUAUUCAUUUAGCCGGGGAAUGCCUCGAGGGAUUUGUAUUGAUUUAUCUGAGGAAUGCCCCGAAGUAUCUUGUACUUGAAGAUGGUGCACAGUCAAGGCCCGGAACGUCGGGUGGAGUUUGGUUUAGGAUUAGUGUAGGAUCAGUUUAGAAUAAAGUAGGUUUAUAUUUCCGUAUUUUUUUAUUUUGGACUGUAUAAUUGGACUGGACACUAUAUUUUGGAUUUAUUUUAUUUUGUGUGUUUGAUUG